rnacentral:lncRNA from 1 species
GUGGAAACUGCAGCUCCAGCUUCAGUUUUGCCCACAAACACACAGAAGACAGGACAGGGAAGGAGUCACAGCACAUGUGCCUGCAAGGAGAAAGAAGGGCAAGAGAACACCUCCUCUCCACCCACCAAGAGGGGAUAUGGGUUCAUCCCCAGAUGAAUCAGACCAUGAAGCCAUUUCUGAGCUAAAAAUCUCCAUGUUAUUGCUUCCCCCAGCUAUCCUCCCCCCUGUGUCCCCUCACCAUGACAGAUUUCAGCUCCCUCCUUCCCGUGGAAAAUACAGCUUUCAUCUAUCUGCAUAGUUGAGGAACAAAACUGUAAAUCCCCAUAUAGCACACAUCAUGUAACACACACUGCCACUUCCAUCACUGCUUACAAAGAUCUCUUGUGCUUUGGAUGGUGGUUGUAACAGGACCUUCCUUGUGAUAUAUGUGACACUGUCACAUCCUGCCUUUUCUUCUCCAAAAUUAAUUUCCCUCUCAGAAGCAAACUCAUCUGUUCUCAACACCCCUUGCUCCAGUGACACUGGACUGACUCAUCCUCAUCAGCAGAGAAUGGCACAGAGCUUUUGCAAGGAGACUAUGGGUGAAACCCUCAAGGGCAAAUAGCAUCAGCAGUGAAGCUGUGCUUGCAAAACCAUCUGCUUCCACCUUGCUCUGCUUUUUCCCCUCUCCAUCCCCUCACGGCUGGCUGCCUUCCUGUCUUGAGCCCCUCCGGCUGUUUGUUGCAGGGCAGCAGACCCUGUUCAUGGGGGAUCAUGACCCUCUGGGCUCCUUCCUCCUCUGCUCAGGGACACGUAGGAAGGAGGGAGGAGCAACCAGGAAACAUGGCCACGACCUCAGACAAUUUUAUGAACCAAAAGAACUCAAUCUCUCAUUUUCUCCACACUCUUUGCAUUAGGGUAAGGUUUACCUCUGACCCAUGUCAACGUCACCAAGAAUAUACCAUCUUUCCCAAGGCAUCCCCUUUUUCUCCCACUCUUUUCUGCUGCUCCCUUCUCACCCUGCUUGUCCUGAACCCACCUAUCCUCUUUCUGGCAUUUUCUUCCACCUCUGCUCAGCUUUUGUUUGAAAUGUUGAACACAACCACACACAUCACAGGAGGAGCAAAAGAGAACUGCCUGUGUGAGGUGGUUUCAUGUUGGAAAAAGGGAAGAUGAGAAGGGGAAGGGAAUGCAGAGCUCCCAGCCUGGAAGCGGCUCGGCAGAAUUCAGGUGGGCGCAGCAGAAACGCAAGUGAGGGCCUCCGGGAGCUGCCAGCAUGGGGCAGAUGGAGGCAGGAAGGGCAUUCCCUGCUGACUCAGGCCUGCCACCAGCACUGAUGAGCCCCACACCUCUGAUGAGUGCUGCACACCCCGGGUUUCGCUCAGGCCAGUGGCAGGGCGGAAAGACACCACCAGCCCACGCUGUCACCUCCCCGAUGGCUCAAGGAGUGCUUGCAAAAGUCAGCCUCUGACAUCCCAGCCAGCAGCCCAUGGGAGCACAGAGGGAGAGAAAAGCAAAGCUCAGGCUGCUUUGCACAGAAUGCUGAGGGGUUUCGCUGAGCCGGCUGUCUGCAGACACCUCCACCAGCAUGGGUUGGUUUGGUCACUAAGGAAAGCAGGGCAGGGGCUGGCAGUGGGAGCACAGUACUGUUCCAUGUCUCCAUGGCCUGGAGUUCCUGCAGAUGUCAUGGGGACUCCUGACAAAUGUGCACAAAAGCGGCUCAGGGAGCAGGCGAGCAGGGACUUGCUUUACAUCCCUGGGACUCCCCCAUGAUACAGAUGCUGUGGGUUUUACCCCCACACAGCUCAUUACCCCUUUAUUUUAAGCAGUUCACCUAGAGGCCAAGCAGCCAGGAGGAAGUAAUCUCUAAAACCACAAGAGAAACCUCCCACCAGGGGUGUGUACAAGAGCUGGAUGGGGAGGGGGAAAUAUUUGCAUUUACCUCAUCAAAAUCUCCAUAUAAAUGGGCUGAGAGGCGUCGGGCUUUCUCAGCUCCCAGGUGCAUGAAGCAGGGACAUCCAAGAGGAUGAUGGCAGCUCACUUCUUGCUGCAGUUCCUCCUCUUCGGGACUCUACUCGUCCCUGUGUACCUGCAGAUGGAAGGAUGUGAUUUUCUCCAGGAUGCAGUCAAGGGCAAUUUCUCAGUGACUGUGACACCUGAGGAGUAUGUGGCCAACACAACCUACCAGGUUACAAUAAGAGAUGACGGAAACAGCACCACCAUCAGAAAUGUGACCAUGUAUUUACUUCAAGCCUUGUCCUCUGAAAAUACCACUGCAGGAGAAUGGAAUGUAGUAGAAAAACUAAACUGCAGUAAUGUUGCGACAGCAAUGCUAAAUACCACUCAGGAAGAAGCAGCAGCAAACUGGACAUCUCCAAGCAGUAACAUAUCUUCCGUGGAAAUAAGGGCAUAUAUCAUCUAUGAAAACAAUAUCACUGAGUUCAAGACGGCGAUUCUGCAGGAAGUUCCACGAACAGAUCCAACCACAGCCUCGACAACCCCUGACUCCGUCUCCGCAGUCCAGAGCAGCUGCUUCUUCAUCGCCGUCACUCAGCUGCUGAUGCUCCUCACUACAAGCAAACUGCUCUCCUAGGAGAUGGGGAGAGGAGAUGACCCAGCUGUGGUGCUCCUCUCCUCACCCACGGCACAGGGCCAGCACACACAGCAAGAUUAGCAAGUCAGAGAUCACUCUGGUCAGAACAGCUGGAGAAGGUGAUUUAGGAGCAGACCCCUUCUAACCAGGGGCACCGGAUGGGUUAAUCCUUUCCUCAACACCUGGGGUCCUGUGAAGCACAAAAAGAAAAGCAUGAAAAUGUUCAAGAGAGGGGAAAGGCCCCUCCCCAUCCCAGUACUGGUGUGUGCUGAGGAGCUGAAGGAGAGGUCUGUGAGCCACAGCCAGGGCAGAGCUAUACUGUGUCCUGCAAAGCUCCCUUGGUUUGGUUCUGGCUCUCUGGAAUGGUGGAGUGGGUGGGUUUUUUUCCUCCUUUUUUUGUUUGUUUGGGUUUUUUUUUGUUUUUAAUCAGCAGCAGUUCCUGCUGUGGGAUGAGAUUGGAUGGGCCCCUGAAUGUCUUGAUUUUAUUAUUAUUGUUUGUAUUUUUAUACGGAUGGAGUUUAUGAAGGAAAUUUCAAACUUCUGGAAAGUAAUUACUAUUAUUAUUAUUUUUUUUUUCUGAAGCGAAUCUAAAUAAACCAAAGAAUGAAAGCUGGCUGUCGCACUGAGCAGUGUUUUCUGGCUGGGACACGGCCGGGCUCCGGCCCUGACCAGCACAGUCUGCCCCUGCAGCUCAUGGCCAUGUUUAAGGGGAAUUUGCUUUCACCUGUCCUUGAACCCAGGGCACAGCCCUCAGCCCUGCGGGCUCCAGAGCCUGGCUGCCUCCCCAUGGUGUGCCCCUCUGCUCCCCACUGAGGCUCACAUUGCUCUGAAGUGGACAUAUCUCACUCGAGUCCACUUUUGUUCAGAUUUUGUCUCAAAAAGCCGUGAUUUGCCUCAAAGAAGAGAUAUUUCUCCCUCUCACAGCUGGGCUUUGCAAGGCGGUAGUGAAGCCCUGCUGAUUUCCACUUAUUCCCACCCCUGGAGGGCUAUGGGAUGGCUGCUUUGUAAAGUCAGCAGUCCCAAACACAAAAUUAAGCACAGUAUUAUGAAUGGUAUUUCCACUGCAUCAUGUAUGGAGUGAUCAACACAGCUGUGGAAUGUUUCACAGAAUAUCACUGAAAUACACUUGCAUGGCCCAGCUAUUACAGUUGCCUUCUGUUUUGCAGGCAGGUUAAUUAGCAGCUCCCGAGCAACCAGAAUAAUGUCACCAUUCACUACAGCAGCACACUGCACUCGGUAAAAUCCUACUUAGUGCAGUAGACUGCCUUUCUACUCUAAUCUUCCUGUCAAUAUGAUUAUCUGGUCAGAUAACAGCUCACAUAAUAGGUAUCAAAUCCCCUCCAGGUAACCUUGCAGCAACACCCUGUUACCAGGCUUAGGGUGGAGAGCAGGCUGGGAUGCUGAGCACUAGGUUGCACCAUUCCCUAUGUGCAGAGAAUGAGGAACCCCCCCCCCCCAUGCUUACAACAGCCCUUUUUCUCACAAAAUGGCUCCAGCUCCCUGUCCUGGCUCUUCUGCUGGUUAAGCAUUACCAGAAUGGCUGCAGCUGUGAGCAACAAAGCUCUGCAGCAGUUCCCCACCCUUCCCCUGAUUGCUGCACCUUCAUGCCACCCAGGGAAGCUCAGUGCUUUGUGGAAAUCAGAACAACCCCAAUUUCUUGGAGUGCAGACUUAACCUUUUACUGCUAUUUCUCACCCUCGAUACAGAAGGAAGUGCAUCACUCGUUCUGAGAGCAGAUUAAACAUCAGGAUUAAACAUUAACCUUCCUUGCUCCAUUUCCACCCCUGCAGAACAAGGGGCAGCUCCAGCCCUGCUCCCUGCUGCCCCAUCUCUCCCAGCUCCGAGGACAGAACACGUGGAGUGGAAUGGCUGUGCCAUACCCCUGCACAUUUCUGCAUCGCUUCGAGAGCAGCCAUUGAUUUUCCCAAGCCCUGCUGCAGUGAGGGAACAAACAGCUCCUGCCUCCGGCACAGUGAUAGCCAAAGGGCUGCUGACCCUCCCAUCCUAAUGGCUUUAUGGCAUUUAGGGACACACACACCCAGGGCAAUAAAAGGAGCAUCGGAUGGCAGGACAAAGCAUGCAAACAUCAGAAAAUGCCCCAACCACUGCUCAGCCACACAUCAACACCCCUGUACGUGCGGUGCGACCACGCGCUCCUUCCCCCUCUGAGCACACAGGAUGCGGUGCAAUGGCAGAGCCAGCGCUCCCCGCUCCCCAGCACUGCCCUCCCCACUGCACACGGGGCCCAGAACCACACGCCACGAGCUGGGAACUGCAGCCUGACCUCAGGAGGAAGAGCUGGGCUGCCCCAUCGGGCACACUGUGUGGAUUAUUCAUUAACGUGGUCAUUGUUGGGGCUACAGCGAAAUACAAACAACACCCUUGGGAGUGGCACUGAACUUGGCUCAGCCCCAAUACUUGCCCCCACCCCGCAACACUGCCCCUGUGUGGGGCAG